CCUACGGGUGGCAGCAGUGAGGAAUAUUGGUCAAUGGGCGCGAGCCUGAACCAGCCAAGUCGCGUGAGGGAAGAAGGCCCUACGGGUUGUAAACCUCUUUUGCCGGGGAGCAACGAGCGCCACGUGUGGCGCCACUGAGAUUACCCGCAGAAAAAGCAUCGGCUAACUCCGUGCCAGCAGCCGCGGUAAUACGGAGGAUGCGAGGGGUAUCCGGAUUUAUUGGGUUUAAAGGUUGCGUCGGCGGAGCGUUAAUUCAGUGGUCAACUGGAGGGGCUCAACCCCUUCCCGCCAUUGAAACUGGCGCUCUUGAGUGGAAGAGAAGUAUGCGGAAUGCGUGGUGUAGCGGUGAAAUGCAUAGAUAUCACGCAGAACCCCGAUUGCGAAGGCAGCAUGCCGGCUUCCUACUGACGCUGAAGCACGAAAGCGUGGGGAUCGAACAGGAUUAGAUACCCGUGUAGUC
rnacentral:rRNA from 1 species